rnacentral:rRNA from 1 species
UACGUAGGCAGCAAGCGUUGUUCGGAAUUACUGGGCGUAAAGAGUGUGUCGGCGGGGUUUUAAGUUUGUUUUGAAAUCUCCCGGCUUAACUGGGAGGGUGCGGCGAAAACUGGAAUGCUAGAGGGUGGGAGAGGUAAGCGGAAUUCCUGGUGUAGCGGUGAAAUGCGUAGAUAUCAGGAGGAACACCUGUGGUGUAGACAGCUUACUGGACCAUUACUGACGCUGAGACACGAAAGCGUGGGUAGCAAACAGG